CCCUGUUACAUACCUACUGUUGCUUCGGCGGGAUUGCCCCGGGCGCCUCGUGUGCCCCGGAUCAGGCGCCCGCCUAGGAAACUUAAUUCUUGUUUUAUUUUGGAAUCUUCUGAGUAGUUUUUACAAAUAAAUAAAAACUUUCAACAACGGAUCUCUUGGUUCUGGCAUCGAUGAACAACGCAGCGAAAUGCGAUAAGUAAUGUGAAUUGCAGAAUUCAGUGAAUCAUCGAAUCUUUGAACGCACAUUGCGCCCGCCAGUAUUCUGGCGGGCAUGCCUGUCUGAGCGUCAUUUCAACCCUCAUGCCCCUAGGGCGUGGUGUUGGGGAUCGGCCAAAGCCCGCGAGGGACGGCCGGCCCCUAAAUCUAGUGGCGGACCCGUCGUGGCCUCCUCUGCGAAGUAGUGAUAUUCCGCAUCGGAGAGCGACGAGCCCCUGCCGUUAAACCCCCAACUUUCCAAGGUUGACCUCUGAUCAGGUAGGAAUACCCGCUGAACUUA
rnacentral:rRNA from 1 species